rnacentral:lncRNA from 1 species
GACUUUCCAAAUCCAGGAGCAACGCCAGUGGCAACGUAGUGACUCAGGCGGGCACCAAGGCAACGGCACCAUUGGUCUCUGGAUCUGACCUCUCCCUGACAGACAACCAUCUCUUUUUAUAUUAUGCCGCUUUCAAUCCAACGUUCUCACACUGGAAGAAGAGAGUUUCUAAUCAGAUGCAACGGCCCAAAUUCUUGAUCUGCAGCUUCUCUGAAGUUUGGAAAAGAAACCUUCCUUUCUGGAGUUUGCAGAGUUCAGCAAUAUGAUAGGGAACAGGUGCUGAUGGGCCCAAGAGUGACAAGCAUACACAACUACUUAUUAUCUGUAGAAGUUUUGCUUUGUUGAUCUGAGCCUUCUAUGAAAGUUUAAAUAUGUAACGCAUUCAUGAAUUUCCAGUGUUCAGUAAAUAGCAGCUAUGUGUGUGCAAAAUAAAAGAAUGAUUUCAG